GGGGCCGUAGCUCAGCUGGGAGAGCGCAUGACUGGCAGUCAUGAGGUCAGGGGUUCGAUCCCCCUCGGCUCCACCG
rnacentral:tRNA from 1 species